UUAGCUUUCCAAUGCUUCAAGAAUCAUCCAAAUCUGAGCUUUGUAGCCUGAGAUAUGAUCGAAAUACUAAACACUGGUCAGAGCCCUGUUUUCCACUUUGGACAGCUGAGUUGAAUUUCGGUAUUUCAACUUUUGGACUAUGAAAACGGCUGAAUUGGACUUUAAUGUCUUCAUACCAAAUGUAGAUAUAUCUCUUAGCUUCAAAAUGGUACCAAGAUCACCUUGAUCCGAUCUGUGCAGCUCCAGAUAUAGUCAAAAUACGAAAAU
rnacentral:lncRNA from 1 species